rnacentral:rRNA from 1 species
UGGGGAAUAUUGCGCAAUGGGGGAAACCCUGACGCAGCAACGCCGCGUGGGUGAUGAAGGCCUUCGGGUCGUAAAGCCCUGUCAACAGGGAAGAAACUCUUGGAUUCGAACAGGGUUCAGGAUUGACGGUACCUGUGGAGGAAGCACCGGCUAACUCCGUGCCAGCAGCCGCGGUAAAACGGAGGGUGCAAGCGUUGUUCGGAAUUACUGGGCGUAAAGCGCGUGCAGGUGGUCCUUUAAGUUUCGUGUGAAAUCCCCCGGCUUAACUGGGGAAUGGCACGGAAAACUGGAAGACUCGAGUACGGGAGAAGAGGGCGGAAUUCCCAGUGUAGAGGUGAAAUUCGUAGAUAUUGGGAGGAACACCGGCGGCGAAAGCGGCUCUCUAGACCGAUACUGACACUCAUACGCGAGAGCGUGGGUAGCAAACAG